GGGAGGCUGGGAGGGAGCACCGGCCCGGCUGCAAAUAGAAGGCACGCAGCAGCUCCGGCUGCGAGGCUCCAGGCCGGCCCAAGGGCACCGAGGCCCCAGCCUACCGGAGCCAGCACAGAGGCGGGUCUCUCCUCCUACCGUCUCAUUCCUGUCCUAUCUACCCUCUCCUAGUCCCGGACUGGGAGUGGGUCUUACAAGUCGGGACAGAACAGACCCCGCUUUUGCUGGGGCAACGGAGCUGGUGCCCUCACUGUCUAUGCUCAGGAGGACGGCGCUGGGCGACCCACAGAGCCCGCGUGGGGUAUUGCGGGGGGAUGCAGGUUGGACCUCGCUCUACGCCAGGAGGCCGCGCCUGGUCACCUGCCGGACCGAUCCGGAGACGGUUUUAUCAGGCGGGCUCCUGGUAAAAACACGUGCGGAGUCUGCCCUCUCCGACGUAGGGGCACUAGUGGGAGGAAGCCCCGGGGGAGACAGGGUCUCUCUUGGACCCACCUGGUCAUGGAGCGGUUUCCGCGUUAAGAGCCCAACAGGUGCCGAAGGUGGAGUCGGACCAGCGGUCCUUUUACUCUUCCAGGAAGGAAGGGAUCCUUGCCUGCCCGCCCCCGUCACUCCCACCCUUGCUUUUGGAGAGCAGGUCUCUUCAAAUCCUCAAGAUGUCUUUGGCCCUUGAGUGACUCUCCUCAAGUUACCAGAGCCUUGCUGACAAUAGAUAACUGCUGUCCUGUAUGACCCGCAAGACAUUUAAUGAGAGGGAUACCUUGAAGACAAAUAGAUGAAGAUUAGAGACGGGACCAGUAUGUGUACCCAACUUCACAGACAUUCAGAGAUCUACCAGAAGCCCCAGUGCCUGUUGUCCUUGGCAGUGGCCACAGACCUAGAACUAGGAGGCCCAGGCUGCCCUCUACUGGUGGUUCCUGACAAUGACCACACGUACCAGCGCUGGACCUGCGACCCAGAAGGGCCAGG